GCCUUCUUGGCUCAGUGGUAGAGCGUCGCACUCGUAACUUGGUUCGUCAUGCGAAGGUCCACGGUUCAAUCCCGUGAGGAGGCA
rfam:Colletotrichum sublineola strain TX430BB Scaffolds0883.1, whole genome shotgun sequence.